AGAAUAUUGAUGGUUGGGAGGGGAAAGA
rnacentral:piRNA from 1 species